UGCAUGCUCGAGAAUCUAUGUUCGUACAUACAUACACAGACCAUAUAGAAUGAAAAAUAUGCUCUGGUCGUCCAGCAGAGUCGUGGACAAAAGUGAAGUUCACAAAAGACCUUCAUACAUAGGCCAUUGUUUCAACUCGUAGUUUAGGCCUUGCCAGACUCCUCGCAACCCGGUGGCCUGAAGGCAAUGAAGCUGACGCACUGCACCUGGCGUAGGUUGUCGAAGCCGAUGACGCGGACAUAGGCGUCAGGGUACUCCUUCUUGACCUCCUCCACCUCGUUGAGCACCUGUGUAGCGUCGGUGCACCCGAACAUAGGCAGCUUCCACAUUGUCCAGUAUCGACCAUCGUAGUACCCGGGGGAGCUGUUGUGCUCACGGAAAACGAAGCCAACCUUGCUGAACUCGAGGCAGGGCACCCACUUGGAGCGGAUCAAGUAGUCGACCUGCUUCAGGAGGGCCUCCGUGGAGAGGGGUGGCAAGUAAGACAGAGUCUCGAACUUCUUGAUGCCCUCAAUCGGCCACACCUGAAUGAAUAGAAUGCGCAGAUGCUCAAUACUUGGUGCUAAGUCAAUUGUACCAACAAUGCUAGAAAAAUCUGUUGAUAAGCCAAAAAUUGCUCCUGAUGGGCAGGUCUCAUAUGUAUUGUUCGUUUGUCCACAAUGAAGAAAGCUUAAGGGUAGCCCUUAAACUGAUGGGCACUCUGGAGGUACUAAGAUAAUUUUAUCUAGUCCAUGCUGCAAUAAAGAGUAUUUCCAUUCACUAAGUUAUGAGUUGAUGGCUUUUACAUACGGAUCCCAGCUUAUGGACAAGGCUGAAUGAGCAUCCAAAGCCAAAUGGUUUCCAUAGGCAACAAACCAAACAGAUAAUAAGGUUUCGGAAUAAUCUAUUGACCAAAUUAUGUUAUACAUUGGGGAUGUUCUGUAAGUGAAUUACUUGUACUGACAAAGAAACUCAUAUCAGUUUAAUUAGUGACCGACAUACCUGCAUGCACCUGAUCCUUCCGCCGUUGCUGACGCUGCUGAGGCCGGCGCUGCUGGAGCGGCGGCUGACGGGCAGGCCGGCGGUCGACUUGAGACCCUGGAAGGGUGCGACGGAGGUGGCCGAGGAAGCCAUCACAGUGGGGGCCAUGGUGUUGGAGGAGAGAAGGUGGCAGGCUAAGCUUGGCCCCCAUUGCUGGGUCACCACGGUAUAUAUAGCCAUAUAUGGCCAGCUCCUAUCUUUAAUCAAGAUGUGGAAGGGGUGGCUGGCGUUCGUUGGUUGCUUGGUUUCCUUAUCUCUCCGGAUUAGUGUAAGAGGCAUGGCCGUUGGAUGAGUUGUGUGUGCCCAAAAUUUCAGUCGUCCAUGUCAUUGUGUGAUUGCCACAAUCCUUUUUCCAGCCUUGCAUUACUGUAUUAUUCUUUUCGUUUCAUCUUGCUAAAGGUAACGCUUGAAAGGUGCACGAAGAACUCCCUUUGUUGAUUUGCGAUUUAAGUUCAGUGGCACAGGCAUAACGAAUGUUAUAGUACAUCCUUUAUCCACUUUUAUAAUACAAAACUUGUCAACCAGUUAUGCUUGCUUCUAAUCUUUGGUACUUCAUUUUAUAACAUUUUAUACAGGUAACUAACGUAUACUUGCUGCAUGUAUGAUGUGUGUCAUCAUGACCUUUAUGUACUUUAUUCACAAUUAUUCAUUGGAACACAAAAGUGUUGUACUAUUUUCUACACCUAAUCAUUUACAUGCCUUGGAGGAUUUUUAGUAUAGGAAAUGCUAUUUAACUGGCUGUCCAGGCAAGGUAUAACUUUGUUUUAAUCUAUGAGCUAAAGUUUUAGAUCCCUCUGUUAUCCAUUUGCUCAGUUCAUGCCGUCCCCAGUGAACUCAUAAAUUACAUAUGGUGAGUGAAUAUAGACCACAAAAAAUGGUAGAUGUAUGUUCAUUCAUUUCAUGAUGAUGAAGCAACCUGCAAAAUGAUGGAAUCGACCAUGACUACUCAGUGAUAUGGCAAUCAUGUAGGACGAUCAUCGUGAUCAUCCUCCCGAGUCGUCCCCGUGCGGCGGCUGGGAGUACCCCAGAUCCCGUCGCCCCCGACUCCCCCUCUCGUCCCCUCCUCCCUCACCGCCGCCCGAGGGCGCCGCCGGGCAAAGCCUUGCCGUCGCCGGCGGCGGCAGGGACUAGGUGCCCUCCCGCUCGUGAGGAGCUGGCGCGGACCAGCGCCCCCGGGCUGGAGCGUGGCGUGCAUCUGGAUGUCAUGACGGGGGCUGGCGGCGCUCCUGCGAUCCCAUACCUCAUGGCAGGCGGCUUCAAGAUCUGGGGCGACACGGUUGCCAGGGUCGGCGGCGGUGGCGUGGCCGGAUCUAGGACCAGGUGUGAGCUUGGUCUCCGGGUCACGAUCGGCGCGAUGGCAAGUGCGACAUGUCGGCAGCUGGACGGAUCUGCGGGAUUCCAUCCUUGUCUAGUCCUUGACAACUCGAGCAACUCCGAGGGAAACCCUAGAUCCAUGGGAUCAAGCGAUGGCAGUGCUUUUGCGUCGUAGUCCCUCUUCGGGACAUCAUUUUAGAGUUUGCUAUGGUUGAAGGGACCAGCGAGGCAUGCGGCGUACGCCCGGUGUCGCAACUACCGAUGAAAAUUACGCCAACUACGGUCAUGGCGGACGAUGGCGGCGUCUUUGAUGUCGUUUCCUUGUCGAGACAUCGUCAUUGCAGUUGGCAUCAUCAUGCUCGGGAUGCUCCGGGGGAAACCCUAGAUCUGGGUCUCCCGGAUCGGACGAUAAUAGCGUUCUUAGUAUCGCUUUCCCUCAUCGGGGCAUCGUUUUGGAGCAAGUGAUGGCUGGAGGUGAUAAGAGGAGGAGCGGUGCUUCAUCAUACACAUUGGUGGUGUCGGAUCUCGAUGGCAUGGCACCCUGGAAAUUAGGCGUUUGAUGUGCGAUGAUGGACUCGCGUAGGAGGUCGACGCUCUCUGGCGUCGUGGUGGCAUCGGCGGCAGCUAGACCGGGCAAGGUACAUGCAGUAGUACAACUCUGAAGAUGGAUUGGUGGCAGGUGGCUGCGGCGGCCUCAUACCCGGCAGGCGUCCUGGUUGAGGAGCACGCUGGACUGGUGGGUGCCCAUGCCCGGCAGGAGUCCUGGUUGGGACCUCAGGUCUUAGAUGUUAGGUUUGGCUGCGAUGUCUCUUUGGUAUUAGGCCCAGACUAUCAGCGCCCCUUCAUCAACUGGAUUGGAUUAGCGACAGAUGUUGCUUAGACGGUGGCUUUAGUCUUAUUGUUGUAUGGUUUUGUAAGGUCUUGUGCUAAUAAUUAAUAAAAUGAUUGUAUGCAUCGCCCAGAUGCAGAGGCCGGGGGUCCUUCUCCUUUUCUAAAAAUCUAGUCAUUUAAGGUAGAUGUCGUGAUCUUCUUGUGUGACUGUCUCAUAGAUUUGAGCUGCAAAUCGAAUCUUAUAUUCUUCCAUUUUUUUUGAAUUUCCUGCAUGUAGUUAAUUAUUUUUUAUGAAUCCUUAAUGAUAAUUAACAUGGCCCAGAUAUUCACAAAAUAUCCAUAACUAUCAUGAACGAAUCAAUAAAUUACUAUUGCAGAAUGAAGAAUGAACCUUCCAUAGACCCCUCCACUUGGGCCCGUCGGUAGAGAGAUUCAUCACUCAUGGGCCACAAAAUGCGAGCCAAGUAGGACGACCUUCACUAAUGGGCCCUUAAGUUGGGCAUCAAUGGAGGGGCACCCAUGGGGCCCAAAGAUCCAACUGAAUGGACAGUCCAUCUCUACUGACGGUCAUACCGGAAUUUCCUAACGGACGCACAUUGUGUCAAGUUGCCACUGUUUCGCACAGAUGCCAGCGACUGGCGACCGAGAUGGGCCGGCCCAAUUACGAGCCCACAGAUGCGCUACAGUGUCCGGUUUUGGGAAACUUCUAGGAGGUUCCUGAGCGGUUUUGGGAACCUUCUAGAAGGUUCCUGAACCAGUUUUCCCUGGUUUAUUCUGUUUCUUUUUAUUUUUCUUUCAAUAUUGUUUAUUCUUUUUCAUUCUUUAUUUUUAUUUUUUCGUUUUGCCGUUUCUAUAUUCCAUUUUUUAUUUCUUUAAUUCCUUUUCCUUCUCUUUUUUCCUUCAGAAUUAAAAAAUAAUAAAAAUGUUCAGAAGUUAAGAAAAUUUUAUUGUUUAAAAAUUUUGUUCAUAAAUUGAAAAAUGUUCUUCUUUUCAAAAAACCUUCGCAUUUUUAAAAAAUGUUUGGCAUUUAAAAAAUGUUCCGCUUUCAAAAUAUUGUUCACAAAUUACAAAUAAUGUUCACUCUUUCCAAAUUUUGUUCAGAGUUUGGACAUGUUUGCAGACGUAAAAAUGUCCACCUUUUCCAGAAAUGUUCAUAUCUUUUUUUUCAAAAUUUGUUCACAAAUUCAAAAAUUCCUGUUUUUAUAAUUUGUUCACACAUCCAAAAAUUGUUCACACCUUUUAAAAAUUCUCAAAAUUUGUUCACAAAUUCAAAAAGCUUUCCAUUUUUAUAAUUGUUCACAGAUUAAAAAAUUGUUCAAAUCUUUAAAACUUGUUCGUGAUUCUAAAAAAAUGUUCAUAUCUUAAAAGAAAUCACAAAUUCGAACAAAUUCCUGUUCUCAAAAUUAGUUCACAAAUUAAAAAUGUUAUUUUUUGAAAAUUAUUCACAAAUUCAAAAAAAGUUCGCAUUUUGUCCAAACUUGUUCGUGAUUUGUCAAAAAAUGUUCGGAAUUUAAAAAAAUGUACCCGUUCUUUCAAGAUUUGUUCACAAAUUAAAAAAUUAUUUCCCUGUUUAAAUUUGGUUCACAAUUCAAAAAAUCAUGUUUUUUAAACUUCAAUUUUUUGCACGUGUCUAACAAAAUAGGUCAGAGUUUUGAAAAUUGUUCCUUUUUAAAAAAUUGUCCAGAACUGCAAAAUUGUUCCUGUUUUUAAAAUUCGAAUAAUUGCGACCAUUUGUUGAAACUCGUGUGCAUUUUUGCCAAAAACAUUUGGACUUUUAAAAAUAUAUUCAGAAUUAACAAGAAAAGAUUUAAAAAGGAAAAAUAAUGUGACCUGCCGUUGUGACCAGUACUAGUCGUGGUGGCUAGCUAGCUUCGUAUAAAAAAGCACGAUCGCGAGCUCGAGUCCUAGCUCUCGCUUCGAGUUUUUCGUUGCCUUUUUAACACUGCACGCUGCCUGCGUGGGCCGGCCCAGUCGGGCGCCUAACCUGUGCGAUCGCUCGACAUUCUGCCGCAGAAUGCGGCAGAUAGGAAGUCCCGGUCAUACCACACCACCCGUCAAUGUUGGGCGCCCCGUUAGUGCUGAAUUAAGGUAUUUCUAUCUGCUAGAGACGAAGUGGCCUUAUAUGGGCUUUCUCUUUUCUCCUAAACAAAACCAAGCCACCUCCCCCAAUCCAUUCCUCCCCAACGUCAUCACCACCCAAUGUUUUUGUCUCCUUACAUGUGUGCCCCCUCCUUCUUCCACAUUGAUCUGGUCCAACGCUACCGUCUCAUCCCCGCGAUCAUCGUCACUACUCUUCGAUUACUCGUGAUGGCGCGGGUUGUGGCUUCCCACUUGCUCUCUCGUAAGAGUGGUUGGGUAAACCCCAAGUGUAAGGAUGAAGUAACCUAGUAAUAAGCAUUUUCCCCGAUAGGUUUAUCAAACCAGUAGGAAUUUCUUCUACAACCCAAAUCCUCGGUACCUGCACACCAAACACAAAAUAAUCUUGCCCCAAACGUUUCAAGAAGGUUGUCAAGCUUCUUGUCCUGCUAGUUACAAGGAUUAGUUGUUAGUUGAAAGCAAAUAUCAGUUGCUAAGUAGCCUUAGUGUGGUUUGUACCUUCAGAUCUGCCAUGACACUGUCAACACUAUACUCGCCAUGCUUAGGGUUCAUCCUUUUUAUAUACACCAAGAUCAACCUAGGUGCUUCGCGUCGUACUAGCACUAAUCCAACCAUCAAUAUAAAUGAAAUGCCACCAUAAUUUCAAAGCUUAGUUGUUCAAAUACGAAUAUGAUGUGGUACUAAUAUUAGUUUAAAAUAGACACAUGUAGUUGGUCAGCCAAUGUUCCUUGUUGAGUUUCAAAAUACAUGUACACCACUUAUAGAGAGGCAUGAGUGAAUACUAUUUAUUUCUGCGAUCUCGUCCAUCAUGGAUGGGCAACGAACAUUGCAUUGUAUAGAAAGAAGGGUUAUAUAUAACCACCUUUUACAUAGAUGACGCUUUGCCUACGUGCUUUGUGUUGAAGUAGCAACACUCCACCUUUCAAGCUAAACAACAUGACACUCAUAAUUUCAAAGCUUAUUUUGUCAAAUACGAAUUUGAUAUGAUACUGAUAUUAGUUAAAAUGACACACAUUAAUUGUCAGCUAAUGUUCCUACUUCAGUUUUGAAAUGCAUAUCUGCCCCUUAUAGAGAGACAAGAGAGGUUUCUAUCUCUCUAUCCGCUCUUGUCAUCAUGGUUGGGGGGUGAACUUUGUAUAUCGUAUAGUUUGAAGCUGUCAUCUACCAACAAUCAUCACUUCUGGAGAUCUCAACUAGGAGCCUUUUUUGAGUAGUAGGGCCAUAUUAUAUUAAUACACACACCAAAUUACAACUCACAUAGCAUCUCUCGGCAGACUUCCAGAGAUAGUACGCAGGGGUUUAUAAGGAGUCACUAUUGGGGUAGAAUCGGCAAUGCAUUUGUUACACCCCGAUUCAGAGAACCGGAGGUCCCCGUGUUCCAGCCCAGAUAUCCAUUCGUCUGGAACACGACUAUAGCUUGGUACAGAUAGACCAAAAUAAAUAAGUACUUAUGUACAUUAAGGAGACAUGUCUAAGUGUGAGAAGCUCGAGGGCUUUAUUCUACGAGUGGCUUAAGGAAGUACUAAAGACGAAAAUAAUACUAAUGACACAACAGAAGACGGGGUACCAGUGGGGCUCCAAUCUAAAGAGACACUGCUGGUACACGAACUCUUAGGGGAACUCUUCUAUCGGCUCUCUAGUAUCUAGCAUGAUAAGUCAGGUGAGUACUUAAUUUGAAUGUACUCGCAAGCUCACAAACAAUCCAAAGCAAGCAAGAACGGAGCAAAUAAACAUAGCAACGAAGUAAGGACUAGUAAAGCUACUACUAUCAAGACUACUCCAUAGACUUCUUGUCUGCUCGUUUAACAUCUACUGGACUUCUUCUUGAAAUGAGUCCUGCUCAAACGACUCAACAAUAUAAGUUACCUGUUACCACAGUUACUAGAGUUGAAAGUAAAGGAAUAUGGGUACUUGGUCAAAUAGUGUGACCUAACACAAAUGGUGUCCCAUUGUCGGGGACUCGGCUAUUUGAAUAGUUUCAACACACACUCUGUAGAGGUCACACACUUUAAUUUACCCACACCAUAGAUUCUUUGUCUAAUGAAUCUCAUUCAUAGCAUGGCACUCUAACUAUUCCUCCGACCUCCCGCAGGCUAGCCCUGGGAGAGAGGAUCUGGGUCCUUGCCACUCUGUGUGGCACCACUUGUAUUCGCUUAGGAAUAUUUUCUAUUGAGCUCAUCCACAGACCCAGGCUCUCUUGACUGAAUGGCAACUUCCAAGCCAGAGGAAGUCUACACAUUCCAGCUUCCCUCUUCAGAGACACACAAAAGAUACAUACCUAGAAACGGAAUAAGGCCCUCCCAUUCGGCUAGAUGUGGCUAUACUGAGGUUGUUCCGCUUUGUGGCAUUUGGAUUGGCUAGCUAUUUAAAGUUGGGUUAAGAAGGAAAGUAAAACCGUAACUUUGUACUAGCUAUUCAAAUCCACAACUUGUUAUCCUACUAGGGUGAAGUAUUCACGAGGAUUCAUCAUCCUAAGUAGAGGCUUUCCCCGAGAUCCUUUGUGAACAUUGAUACCUAUUUUGCUUAUGAUUCAUGUUGGCAAAAUAAUUACCGGUUACGAGUCAUAGUUAAACUUCUAUUCCACUAGGACCAAAUAAAGGUAUCCUUGCUAGUGACUCACUAUGCUAUUUCAACCACAACAAACUUGACAUAAGCAAAGGGAAGCAAUAAAGAACACUGAAAGAAAAGUAAUGCGGGAAAAGAAAUGCAAGUUGAAUCCAUGGCCUUGCAAUGCAAGUUGAACCUAUAGUGUUAUAGCCAUGGCUCACGCUCAUGUAUUGCAUGGGGCUGAAAAUCUUGAAGCGCGUUAGAAGUGUUAAGCUUCAUGCACUAGCCAACGCAGCCAAAAGUCUGAACUGAUGGAAAGGGCUAGUACAAUCCACAUAUACUAUAACACCCUCUCUCACGUGGGACGGGGAAGACAAGUCAACACAUGCAACCGGAAGAGAGCGACGGCACGCGAAACUCAGGUAUGACUCAAGAGGCCUAUACGUGGACACAAAGGAGGGCUGUCAGCAAUUUUUAAAUAAGUUGCACAAACCAGGACUUGAACUCAAGACCUUAACUCCAAUACCAUGUUAAGCUUCAUUGACUCACUGAAAAACCAGCGGCAGUCACCACAGAGGCAAAACGCUCAAACAAGGCGCGGGGGGCUUGCUUAAGGCCAUAGAGAGAGCGACGAAGACGAGAUACCAUGCCAUCAGGAACAGAAUACCCAGGUGGUGGCUGCAUGUAUACCUCCAUUUGCCUGGUUUGACACCGGGGUGCUCAUGAUUUAUAUAUAUGCAAUGAAGGCGGAGUCAUGCCAUGCUAACAUGAUAAAAUGAGUGGGGAUAACAUUCGUUAAUGAUCGUAUAUUUUGAAAAAGUAAUGAUUAUGUUUCUUAUAUUCAUGGAAAUUAUUAUGUUGAUAUUGUUACUUCAUUGUUUCUCAAUAACUAUAUCAUAAAGAUAUUACAUGAUACAUAUGUUUGUUGGGGAACGUAGUAAUUUCAAAAAAAUUCCUACGCACACGCAAGAUCAUAGUGAUGCAUAGCAACAAAAGGGGAGAGUGUUGUCUAUGUACCCUCGUAGACCGAAAGCGGAAACGUUAGAACAACGCGGUUGAUGUAGUCGUACGUCUUCACGGCCCGACCAAUCAAGCACCGAAACUACGACACCUCCGAGUUCUAGCACACGUUCAGCUCGAUGACGUCCUUCGAACUCCGAUCCAGCCGAGUGUCGAGGGAGAGUUCCGUCAGCACUACGGCAUGGUGACGAUCUUGAUUUUCUACCGUUGCAAGGCUUCUCCUAAGCACCGCUACAAUAUUAUCAAGGAGGACUAUGGUGGAGGGGGGCACCGCACACGGCUAAGAGAUCAAGAGAUCAAUUGUUGUGUCUAGAGGUGCCCCCCUGCACCCGUAUAUAAAGGAUCAAGGGGAAGGGGGCGGCCGGCCAGGAGGAGGUGCGCCAAGGGGGGAGUCCUACUCCCACCGGGAGUAGGACUCCUCCUUCCCUUGUUGGAGUAGGAGAGAAGGAAAGAGGGGGAGAGGAGGAAGGAAAAGAGGGCUGCACCCCUUGUCCAAUUCGGACCAGAGUGGGGCUGUGCGCCUCCUUCCUUUCGGCCUCUCUCCUCUAUUCCCGUAUGGCCCAAUAAGGCCCAUAUACUCCCCGGCGAAUUCCCGUAACUCUCCGGUACUGUGAAAAAUACCCGAAUCACUCGGAACCUUUCCGAAGUCCGAAUAUGGUCGUACAAUAUAUCGAUCUUUACGUCUCAACCAUUUCGAGACUCCUCGUCAUGUCCCCGAUCUCAUCCGGGACUCCGAACUCCUUUGGUACAUCAAAACUCAUAAACUCAUUAUAUAACUGUCAUCGAAACUUUAAGCGUGCGGACCCUAUGGGUUCGAGAACUAUGUAGACAUGACCGAGACACGUUUCCGGUCAAUAAACAAUAGCGGAACCUAGAUGCUCAUAUUGGCUCCUACAUAUUCUACGAAGAUCUUUUAUUGGUCAAACCACAUAACAACAUACGUUGUUCCCUUUAUCAUCGGUAUGUUACUUUCCCGAGAUUUGAUCGUCGGUAUCCAAUACCUAGUUCAAUCUCGUUACCGGCAAGUCUCUUUACUCGUUCCGUAAUGCAUCAUUCCGUAACUAACUCAUUAGCUACAUUGCUUGCAAGGCUUAUAGUAAUGUGCAUUACUAAGAGGGCCCAGAGAUACCUCUUCGACAAUCGGAGUGACAAAACCUAAUCUCGAAAUACGCCAACUCAACAUGUACCUUUGGAGAUAGCUGUAGAGCUCCUUUAUAAUCACCCAGUUACGUUGUGACGUUUGGUAGCACACAAAGUGUUCCUCCGAUAAACGGGAGUUGCAUAAUCUCAUAGUUAUAGGAACAUGUAUAAGUCAUGAAGAAAGCAGUAGCAACAUACUAAAUGAUCAAGUGCUAAGCUAACGGAAUGGGUCAUGUUAAUCACAUCAUUAUCCUAAUUAUGUGAUCCCGUUAAUCAAAUGACAACUCAUGUCUAUGGUUAGGAAACAUAACCAUCUUUGAUUAAUGAGCUAGUCAAGUAGAGGCAUACUAGUGACAUUAAGUUUUGUCUAUGUACUCACACAUGUAUCAUGUUUCCGGCUAAUACAAUUCUAGCAUGAAUAAUAAAAAUUCAUCAUGAUAUAAGGAAAUAAAUAAUAACUUUAUUAUUGCCUCUAGGGCAUAUUUCCUUCAGUCUCCCACUUGCACUAGAAUCAAUAAUCUAGUUCACAUCGCCAUGUGAUUUAACACCAAUAUUCACAUCUGUAUGUGAUUAAUACCCAAUAGUUCACAUUGUCAUGUGAUCAACACCCAAAGGGUUUACUAGAGUCAAUAAUCUAGUUCACAAAUCUAUGUGAUUAACACCCAAAGAGUACUAAGGUAUGAUCAUGUUUUGCUUGUGAGAGAAGUUUAGUCAAUGGGUCUGUCACAUUCAGAGCCGUAUGCAUUUUGCAAAAAUUCUAUGUCUACAAUGCUCUGCACGGAGCUACUUUAGAUAAUUGCUCCCACUUUUAAUAUGUAUCCAGAUUAAGACUUAGAGUCAUCUGGAUCAAUGCCAAAACUUGUAUUGACGUAACCCUUUACGACGAACCUUUUUUCACCUCCACAAUCGAGAAACAUAUCCUUAUUCCACUAAGGAUAAAUUUGACCAAUGUCCAGUGAUCUACUCCUAGAUCACUAUUGUACUCCCUUGCCAAACCAGGACAGAGUAUACAAUAGGUCUGGUCCAUAGCAUGACAUACUUUUAUAGAACCUAUGACUGAUGCAUAGGGAAUGACUUUCAUUCACUUUCUAUUUUCUGCCGUGGUCCGGAUUUGAGUCUUACUCAAUUUCUUACCUUUGCAACAUAGGCUAGAACUCUUUCUUUGACUGUUCCACUUUGAACUAUUUCAAAAUCUUGUCAAGGUAUGUACUCAUUGAAAAUAUUAUCAAGCGUCUUGAUCUAUCUCAAUAGAUCUUGAUGCUCAAUAUGUAAGUAGCUUUACUGAGGUCUUUCUUUUAAAGAACUCCUUUCAAACACUUCUUUAUGCUUUCCAGAAUUUUUUUAUAUCAUUUCUGAUCAACAAUAUGUCACUCACAUAUACUUAUCAGAAAGGCUGUAGUGCUCCCACUCAUUUUAUUGUAAAUGCAUGCUUCACUGCAAGUCCAUAUAAAACUAUAUGCUUUGAUCAAAGCGUAUAUUCCAACUCCGAGAUGCUUGCACCAGUCCAUAGUUGGAUCGCUAGAGCUUGCACAAUUUGUUAGCACCUUUAGGAUUGACAAAACCUUCUGAUUGCAUCAUAUACAACUCUUCUUUAAUAAAUCCAUUAAAGAAUGCAGUUUUGACAUCCAUUUGCCAGAUUUCAUAAAAUGUGGCAAUUGCUAAUAUGAUUCGGACAGACUUAAGCAUCGAUACGAGUGAGAAAAUCUCAUCGUAUUCAACACCUUAAACUUGUCAAAAAACUUUUGCGACAAGUCGAGCUUUGUAGAUAGUAACACUACUAUCAGCGUCUGUCUUCCUCUUGAAGAUCCAUUUAUCUUCCAUGGCUUGCCGAUCAUCGGGCAAGUCCACCAAAGUCCACACUUUGUUCUCAUACAUGGAUCUCAUCUCAGAUUUUAUGGUCUCAACCCAUUUUGCGGAAUCUGGGAUCAUCAUCGCUUCCUCAUAGUUUGUAGGUUCAUCAUGGUAUAGUAACAUGACCUCCAUAAUAGGAUUACCGUACCACUCCGGUGCGGAUCUUACUCUGGAAGACCUACGAGGUUCUGUAGUAACUUAAUCUGAAGUUUCAUGAUCAUCAUCAUUAGCUUCCUCACUAACUGGUGUAGGAAUCACUGGAACUGAUUUCUGUGAUGAACUACUUUCCAAUUCGGGAGAAGGUACAAUUACCUUAUCAAGCUCUACUUUCCUCCCACUCACUUCUUUCGAGAGAAACCCCUUCUCUAGAAAGGAUCCAUCUUAGCAACGAAUAUUUUGCCUUCGGAUCUGUGAUAGAAGGUGUACCCAACAAUUUCCUUUGGGUAUUCUAUGAAGACGCACUUCUCUGAUUUGGGUUCGAGCUUAUCAGGUUGAAAUUUUUUCUCAUAAGCAUCGCAGCCCCAAACUUUAAGAAACGACAGCUUAGGUUUAUUGCUAAACCAUAGUUCAUACGGUGUCGUCUCAACGGAUUUAGAUGGUGCCCUAUUUUAACGUGAAUGCAGCUGUCUCUAAUGCAUAGCCCCAAAACAAUAUUGGUAAAUCGGUAAGAGACAUCAUAGAUCGCACCAUAUCCAAUAAAGUGCGGUUACGACGUUCGAACGCACCACUACGAUGUGGUGUUCCAGGUGGCAUGAAUUGUGAGACUAUUCCACAUUGUUUUUAUACGAAAGCCAAACUCGUAACUCAAAUAUUCUCCUCCACGAUCAGAUCGUAGAAACUUUAUUUUCUUGUUACGAUGAUUCUCCACAUCACUCUGAAAUUCUUUGAACUUUUCAAAUGUUUCAGACUUGUGUUUUAUUAAGUAGAUAUACUCAUAUCUUGCUCAAAUCAUCUUGUGAAGGUCUGAAAAUAACGAUACCCGCCACGAGCAUCAAUACUCAUUGGACCGCAUACAUCAGCAUGUAUUAUUUCCAAUAAGUCACUAGCUCGUUCCAUUGUUCCGGAGAACGGAGUUUUAGUCAUCUUGCCCAAAAGGCACGGUUCGCAAGCAUCAAAUGAUUCAUAACCAAGUGAUUCCAAAAAUCCAUCUUUAUGGAGUUUCUUCAUGCGCUUUACACCGAUAUGACCCAAACGGUAGUGCCACCAAUAAGUUGCACUAUCACUAUAAACUUUGCAUCUUUUUGGCAUCAAUAUUAUGAAUAUGUGUAUCACUACGAUCGAGAUCCAAUAAACUAUUUUCAUUGGGUGUAUGACCAUCGAAGGUUUUAUUCAUGUAAAUAGAACAACAAUUAUUCUCUGACUUUAAAUGAAUAACCAUAUUGCAAUAAACAUGAUCAAAUCAUAUUUAUGCUCAACGCAAAAGCCAAAUAACAUUUAUUUAGGUUUAACACUAAUCCCAAAAGUAUAGGGAGUGUGCGAUGAUGAUCAUAUCAAUCUUGGAACUACUUCCAACACUGAUCGUCACUUCACCCUCAACUAGUCUCUGUUUAUUCUGUAACUCUUGUUUCGAGUUACUAAUUUUUUAGCAACCGAACAAGUAUCAAAUACUCAGGGGCUACUAUAAACACUAGUAAGGUACACAUCAAUAACCCGUAUAUCAAAUAUACCCUUGUUCACUUUGCCAUCCUUCUUAUCCACCAAAUAUUCAGGGCAUUUGCGAUUCCAGUGACCAUUUCCUUUGCAGUGUAAGAACUCAGUUUCAGGCUUUGGUCCAGCCUUGGGCUUCUUCACGGGAGUGACAACUUGCUUGUCAUUCUACUUGAAGUUCCCUUUCUUUCCCUUUGCCCUUUCUUUGAAACUAGUGGUCUUGUUAAUCAUCAACACUUGAUGCUCUUUCUUGAUUUCUACCUUCGUCGAUUUCAGCAUCACGAAGAACUCGGGAAUCGUUUUCAUCAUCCCUUGCAUUAUAGUUCAUCACGAAGUUCCAGUAACUUGGUGAUGGUGACUAGAGAACUCUGCCAAUCACUAUCUUAUCUGGAAGAUUAACUCCCACUUGAUUCAAGCGAUUGUAGUACUCAGACAAUCUCAGUACUUGCUCACUAUUUGAGUAAUUCUCCUCCAUCUUUUAGGCGAAGUAUUUGUCAAAGGUCUCAUACCUCUUGACACGGGCAUGAGUCUGAAAUACCAAUUUCAUCUCUUGAAACAUAUUAUAUGUUCCAUGAUGUUUCAAAAACGUUUUUGUAGUCCCGGUUCUAAGACAUAAAGCAUGGUGCACAAAACUAUCAAGUAGUCAUCAUAUUGAGCUAGGCAAACGUUCAUAACGUCUGAAUCUGCUCCUGCAAUAGGUCUGUCACCUAGCGGUGCAUAAAGGACAUAAUUCUUCUGUGCAGCAAUGAGGAUAAACCUCAGAUCACGGACCAAGUCCGCAUCAUUGCUACUAACAUCUUUCAACUUAGUUUUCUCCAGGAACACAUAUAAAACAUAGGGAAGCAACAACGCGAGCUAUUGAUCUACAACAUAAUUUGCAAAAUACUACCAGGACUAAGUUCAUGAUAAAUUAAAGUUCAAUUAAUCAUAUUACUUAAGAACUCCCACUUAGACAGACAUCUCUCUAGUCAUCUACGUGAUCACGUAAUCCAAAUCAACUAAACCAUGUCCGAUCAUCACGUGAGAUGGAGUAGUUUUCAAUGGUGAACAUCACUAUGUUGAUCAUAUCUACUAUAUGAUUCACGUUCGACCUUUCGGUCUCCAUGUUCCGAGGCCAUAUCUGUAUAUGCUAGGCUCGUCAAGUUUAACCUGAGUAUUCCACAUGUGCAACUGUUUUGCACCCGUUGUAUUUGAACGUAGAGCCUAUCACACCCGAUCAUCACGUGGUGUCUCAGCACGAAGAACUUUCACAAUGGUGCAUACUCAGGGAGAACACUUCUUGAUAAUUAGUGAGAGAUCAUCUUAAAAUGCUACCGUCAAUCAAAGCAAGAUAAGAUGCAUAAAGGAUACACAUCACAUGAAUCAACAUAAGUGAUAUGAUAUGGCCAUCAUCAUCUUGUGUUUGUGGUCUCCAUCUCCGAAGCACCGUCGUGGUCACCAUUGUCACCGGAGCGACACCUUGAUCUCCAUCGUAGCAUCGUUGUUGUUUCGCCAUCUAUUGCUUCUACGACUAUCGCUACCGCUUAGUGAUAAAGUAAAGCAAUUACAGGGUGCUUGCAUUUCAUACAAUAAAGCGACAACCAUAUGGCUCCUGCCAGUUGCCGAUAACUCAGUUACAAAACAUGAUCAUUUCAUACAAUAAAAUAUAACAUCACGUCUUGACCAUAUCACAUCACAACAUGCCCUGCAAAAACAAGUUAGACGUCCUCUACUUUGUAGUUGCAAAUUUUACGUGGCUGCUACAGGCUAAGCAAGAACCGUUCUUACCUACGCAUAAAAACCACAACGAUAGUUCGUCAAGUUAGUGCUGUUUUAACCUUCACAAGGACCGGGCGUAGCCACACUCGGUUCAACUAAAGUUGGAGAAACUGACACCCGCCAGCCACCUGUAUGCAAAGCACGUCGGUAAAACCAGUCUCGCGUAAGUGUACGUGUAAUUUCGGUCCAGGCCGCUUCAUCCAACAAUAUCGCCGAACCAAAGUAUGACUUGCUGGUAAGCAGUAUGACUUGUAUCGCCCACAACUCACUUGUGUUCUACUCGCGCAUAUAACAUUUACGCAUAAAACCUGGCUCGGAUGCCACUAUUGGGGAACGUAGUAAUUUCAAAAAAUUUCCUACGCAUACGCAAGAUCAUGGUGAUGCGUAUCAACAAGAGGGGAGAGUGUUGUCUACGUACCCUCAUAGACCGAAAGCGGAAGCGUUAGAACAAUUUGGUUGAUGUAGUCGUACGUCUUCACGGCCCGAUCAAUCAAGCACCAAAACUACGGCACCUCCGAGUUCUAGCAUACGUUCAGCUCGAUGACAUCCUUCAAACUUCGAUCCAGCCAAGUGUCGAGGGAGAAUUCCGUUAGCACGACGGCGUGGUGACGAUCUUGAUGUUCUACCGUCGCAGGGCUUCUCCUAAGCACCGCUACAAUAUUAUCGAGGAGGACUAUGAUGGAGGGGGGGGGCACCGCACACGACUAAGAGAUCAAGAGAUCAAUUGUUGUGUCUAGAGGUGCCCCCUGCCCCCGUAUAUAAAGGAUCAAGGGGGAGGAGGCGGCCGGCCAGGAGGAGGCGCGCCAAGGGGGGAGUCCUACUCCCACCGGGAGUAGGACUCCUCCUUCCCUUGUUGGCGUAGGAGAGAAGGGAAGAGGGGGAGAGGAGGAAGGAAAAGGGGGCUGCACCCCUUGUCCAAUUCGGACCAGAGGGGGGCUGCGCGCCUCCUUCCUUUCGGCCUCUCUCCUCUAUUCCCGUAUGGCCCAGUAAGGCCCAUAUACUCCCACACGAAUUCACGUAACUCUCCGGUACUCCGAAAAAUACCCGAAUCACUCGGAACCUUUCUGAAGUCCGAAUAUAGUCAUCCAAUAUAUCGAUCUUUACGUGUCGACCAUUUCGAGACUCCUCGUCAUGUCCCCGAUCUCAUCUGGGACUCCGAACUCCUUCGGUACAUCAAAACUCAUAAACUCAUAAUAUAACUGUCAUUGAAACCUUAAGCGUGUGGACCCUACGGGUUCGAGAACUAUGUAGACAUGACCGAGACACGUUUCCGGUCAAUAACCAAUAGCGAAACCUGGAUGCUCAUAUUGGCUCCUACAUAUUCUACGAAGAUCUUUUAUCGGUCAAACCGCAUAACAAUAUACGUUGUUCCCUUUGUCAUCGGUAUGUUACUUGCCCGAGAUUUGAUCGUCGGUAUCCAAUACCUAUUUCAAUCUCGUUACUGGCAAGUCUCUUUACUCGUUCCGUAAUGCAUCAUUUCGUAACUAACUCAUUAGUUACAUUGCUUGCAAGGCUUAUAGUGAUGUGCAUUACCGAGAUGGCCCAGAGAUACCACUCCGACAAUCGAAGUGACAAAACCUAAUCUCGAAAUAUGCCAACUCAACAUGUAUCUUUGGAGACACCUGUAGAUCUCCUUUAUAAUCACCCAGUUAUGUUGUGAUGUUUGGUAGCACACAAAGUGUUCCUCUGGUAAACGGGAGUUGCAUAAUCUCAUAGUUGUAGGCACAUGUAUAAGUCAUGAAGAAAGUAUACGCCAACUCAACAUGUACCUUUGGAGACACCUGUAGAGCUCCUUUAUAAUCACCCAGUUACGUUGUGACGUUUGGUAGCACACAAAGUGUUCCUCCGGUAAACGGGAGUUGCAUAAUCUCAUAGUUGUAGGAACAUGUAUAAGUCAUGAAGAAAGCAGUAGCAACAUACUAAACGAUCAAGUGCUAAGCUAACGGAAUGGGUCAUGUCAAUCACAUCAUUCUCCUAAUGAUGUGAUCCCGUUAAUCAAAUGACAACUCAUGUCUAUCGUUAGGAAACAUAACCAUCUUUGAUUAAUGAGCUAGUCAAGUAGAGGCAUACUAGUGACAUUAAAUUUUGUCUAUGUAUUCACACAUGUAUCAUGUUUCCGGCUAAUACAAUUCUAGCAUGAAUAAUAAACAUUCAUCAUGAUAUAAGGAAAUAAAUAAUACCUUUAUUAUUGCCUCUAGGGCAUAUUUCCUUCAAUGUUAGCUAGCAUUACACAUCAAAAUUUUUGUUUUUAUCAUUUACCUAUUCGAGGAUGAGCAGGAAUUAAGCUUGAGGAUGUUGACAUGUCCAACAUAUCUAUAAUUUUUUAUUGUUUCAUGCUAUCAUAUGAUCAAUCUUGGAUGCUUUAUAUGUAUUUUAUACUAUUUUAUAUCUUUUUGGACUAACCUAUUAUUUUGAAAAAAAAUUGAAUUGUUUGGAUUGCUUACCACAUGUGUCACGUGGUUUGGGACUAACUUUUUAACCCAAUGCCUAGUGCUAGUUAAUGUUUUUUUUGCUUGUUUUUGGCUCUUCAGAAAAACAAUACCAAAUGAACUUCAAACAUGAUGAAACUUUACGGUAAUUUUUUCUGGACUAGAAGAGGCCCUAGAAGGUUCGGGAGGAGGCUAGAAGAUCUACGGAAGAGCCACGAGCUCACAGGGCACGCCCCCGAGCUCAUGGGCCCCACGCAGCUCCGUUUGACCUAAUUUCAACUCCAUAACUUCACAUAUAUUUCCAAACCAAUAGAGAGCCACCCGAAACACUUUUUUUCCACCGCAAGCUUCUGUUCUUCCGUGAUCCCAUCUGGAGGCCUUUUCCGGUACUCUGCCGGAGGAGGAAUCGAUCAUGGAGGGCUUCUAUAUCAUCCUUGCUGCCUUUCGAUGAUGCAUGCAUAGUUCAUGACAGACCUACGGGUCCAUAUCUAGUAGGUAGAUGGCUUCAUCUCUCUCUUUGAUCUUCAAUACAAUGUUCUCCUCGAUUUUCUUAGAGCUUUUUUAUCCUAUGUAAUCUUUUUUUGCGGUGCGUUUAUUGGGAUGCAGUGAAUUAUGGGUUUAUGAUCAAAUUAUUAACUGAAAGUAAUUGUGUCUUUUCUGAGCUUUAUUAUGCAUGAUUGUUAUAGCUUCGUAUUAUCCUCCGAUCAAUUCGUUUGGUUUCGCCAACUAGAUUGAUUUAUCUUCAGUGGGAGAGGUGCUUUGUAAUGGGUUCAAUCUUGCGGUGUCCUCAUAUAGUGACAGAAGGGGAAGCAAGGCACAUAUAGUAUCGUUGCCAUUAAGGAUAAAACGACGUGGUUUAAUCAUAUUUCUUGAGUUUACUUUGUCUAGAUCAUGUCAUCUUGCUUAAGGUGUUACUCUGUUUGCCAUGAACUUAAUACGAUAGAUGCAUGCUAAAUAGCGGUCGAUUGGUGGAGUAAUACUAGUAGAUGUAGGCAGGAGUCGAUCUACUUGUCACAGACAUGACUAUAUACAUGAUCAUUGCCAUGAAUAUGUCAUAACUAUGUGUUUUUCUAUCGGUUGUCUAACAGUAAUUUGUUUACCCACAAUAUGCUACGUGUUCGAGAGAGAAGCCUCUAAUGAAAACUAUGGCGCUAGGUCUACUUUUAUCAUAUUAUUAAAACUAAAAAUACCUUCAUGCAAUUUUAUACUUUUUUUACUUUUCUUUUUAUCUAUCUAUCACUAUCAGAAUUAAUCCUUGCAAAUAAUGAGUUCAAGGGGAAUGACAAGACUCUUGCCGCGUUGGGUGCAAGUAUUUGCUUUUGUGUGUGUAGGUGCUGAAAAAGGGAAUUUGCGUGGUUCUCCUAUUGGUUUGAUAACCUUGGUUCUCACUGACGGGAAUACUUAUCUCUAUUGUAUUGCUCCACCCAUCCUCUUGGGGGAAAUCCCAACGCAGUUUAGAAGUAGCACUACUCCUCCUUCCUCCUCCAUAGACGCUUGGCGAAGCCCUGCCACAGCUCCACCAUAAAAUCCACCACCACGCCAUCGUGUUGGCCUAGAUCUCAUCUACCUAUCCCUGUCGCUUGCUGGAUGAAGGAGACAUCACCGAGCCAUACGUGUGCAUAUCCCUGAGGUGUCAUUCGUGCGGUGCUGGAUCGGAUUGGAUCACGAAGAGUGUACGACUACGCCAAGCACAUUCAUUAGAACGUUUCUGUUUUAGGUCUAGAAGGGUUUGUAGACUUUUCCCCCUCGUUGCUAGCAUCUAGUUGAUUAGAUCUCGGAUGUUUUCAUUGUCUCGUAGGAAAAAAAUUGUUUUUCAUGCAUUGAUUCUCAUCACCGACCUGCUUCAAAAGAAGCAGGUAGGAGCCCAGGCGGCCCGAGCUCAGCAGGUUGCCGGGUGGGAGGUCCCUAACAGGUGCAUCCAAGAAUGCAACAACCUCCAAGUAGAGAAGGCGUCCCUAACCGAGAGGACGAGACAACAAGAGCUGGAGCUGGAAGAAGUUAAGUCUCGCCUGGUCGAUGCCGGGAGCGUCGCGGCGGGCCCUUGAGAUCAUAGCCAGUGAGUCUGUCCAUGCUUCAACUCAUAAACUAGGUGGAAAUUUUAUUUGCCGAUCUGACAUACAAAUUCAUUAUUUCCAGCAUCUUUUCCCGACCUGCCAGCCAAUGCUGUUGGAGCGUCCCUUAGGGAGAAACUGCAGCAGUUUGGAGAGUUAAACAAGAUUGCGAGGCCGGUAAUGGAGGGUAUUUUCUUGGCCCUAUGGCCUGGAAGAAAGGUUGUCGGAAAACCAGUUUGACCUCUGCCGCCGCCUCCAGGAGGGGCAUGCUCGGAUUGCCCUGUGAAAGGCGUUAGUGGCCUGAGAAGAUGCUCGUCAAGCGUGGGCCAUGCUCCAGACCCACUAUCCGGGCUUGAACAUCUGCCCUAUUGCCGUAGUUGGUCCAAAAGGACCUGACGGUAAGGAGAUUAUGCCCUAUGCUAGGAUGUCCGAGCAGGAUUGUCGUUUGAAAAGAUUAUUGAAUAGGCUAGGAGUGUUACCCUGGAUUGUCAAGGACGAAACGUUGAAUAAAAACUUCUCGAAUUUCGCUACCACCAUGUUUAUUUUUUUCUAUACCAACAACAUGAUAGGUUUGCUCCGACCUGUUAGCAUACGCUUGCAUUAACCGGCCUUUGGCUUCAACCUCAACAACCAAAUGUGGAGGCCUUAUAAUUGAUGUUAACGCAAUGAGUAGGGAUCACCAUGCAACUAGGAUGCAAACAUAUCUAUGAAUAUAUGAAAUAUCUCGCAAGGAUUAAGUGGGGGUGUGUCCAACUUGUUUGCUCAUGAAGACCUCAAGCAUUUGAUAAAGCUCAUCAUCGGGAUAUACAAGGAAAAUUAUACAAUAUAAAUUCCCCAAGCUAGUAUAAAACAUGAAGCUCAUGAAACUUUAAUUAGAUGUAAAUUGUCCAGACCAACAAAAGUUCUUUAGUAAGGGUCUCUGACGAGAAUUUAUUUCAUCGAAAGUGUCCUACUCAGCUUGAGCUCAUAUGAAUUUUUUUAUUGCCGUGAAAAAGAUGAAUGCCAUUCUAUGAUGAAACCUUGCAAGGAUUUAUAACAUUUGUCAAAUUAAGCCACACACAAAAAAUCAGAAAUUUUUGAAUUCUCUCUAAAUAUUUUCAGAUUUUAUUGCUCACCCGAGCUCAUAUGAGCUCGAGCUCAGUUAAUCCGUGUCCAUGUUUCAUCCUACUCUACUAGCAAAAACCAAUGGAGCAGACGGUAGUGACGUGGAAAAGAAACCAUAACAAAUUUUUAGUGAUAUAUAAUUAAAGAAACAGAAAUUUACAAUUGCAAAUUAGGGAAUCUUAAUGUCAAAUACUGAAUUCUUCCACCCACUAGCUGUGAGACAUAUCCAUUGCAGUGCCAAAUAAAGAAGCUUUUCCAUGAAUUAAUAACAACAAGACAAUGGUCCGCGUGUUGUAUAUAAUAAAUAGAGUCCUGCUUCGGUACAACCCCCCUCGCAAUAUGUAUAAAGGGUAAUAUGGACUUUUCACAAUCUGUAUCUACUUCUGUACGUAACAUAUACGCCAGGCAGCUUACUUGGGCCGGCCCAUUUGCGGUGGCAUGCGAUGAAAAAUAGCGAAAAAGGAUCACACAAACUGGGAAUCGAAACCGACGACCACUUCAAAAUUUAACUGCGUCCACAACCACUGCGAUAGCAUGCCUUUGUUGAAUGAUCUAAAGUUGGAAACAAUAAAUAAUUGACAGGCUGGGAAUUUUAAAAAGAUUUCAGUAACACUUUCUGAACUGGCGUUUUUUCCAUAAUUUCUUUCUAUUUAUUUUCCUUUUCCUGCUAUUCUUCUUUCUUUUUCAAAAAUGUUCGCGCUUUCAAAAUGUUGUUCCAAAUUUCAAACGGUUCAUUAUUUCCAAGUUUUGUUCAUAAACUAAAAAUAUUUGCAUUUUUGAAAAUUGUAUUGUAAUUUGAAAAAAUGUUUGUGACUUUGAAAAAAUGUUCAGAAUGUAAAAUGUGAAUAAUGUUUUGAAAACCACAAAUAAAAUUGUGAAAAUGAACAUUUUCUGAGAGCACGGACAAAAAAUUAAAUUCCAAAGCAUUUUUCAGAAAUGAGACUAAAUAAAUGAUCUCAUAAAAUUAUUCUAAAUUUACACGAUUAUUUUUUAAAAUUUGUCAGAAUAUUUUUGAAAAUGAGAACAUUUUCUAAAUUCCGAACAAAUUCCAGUAGUCGCCCGACAAGAGCGAUGCCGUUGCUUAGUUGGGCAAGGCCUAAAGUUUUUUCUUUUCUAUUUUUUCGUUUUAUUCUCUUUUUUGUUAAUUUAUCUUUUCACCUUUUUGAACUUUAUGGUUCUUUUUUUUAACCUGCUCAAAAAAUUGAAAUACCAAAAUAAUAGUUUUAAGGAACUAUUUUAAAUUAUGAUUUUAAUUCUUUUUUUGUUUCAAUAUUUCUUAAAUGCUUUUUAAAAAGCAUCUGUUGUUUUCAAUUCUAUUAUUUAGUAUUUAUUGAUUAUUUUAGAAAUUUAAAAUGACAGUUUGAAGUAUCUAUAUAAAUUAUGAUUUUAAAUGACCCCAACAUUUGCCAGCUGGUGGCAUGGCCAUGGUAGGCAUCCAUGCCCCAAUAUUCUUUCAUGGCCUCGUAUGACCAAUUCAAUGCACCAUGACAAGUUGUUUUGGUUUUCGACAAAUUUUGUAUUUUUCUAGAGUUUUCUCGAUAAGAAAAUGCAAAAAAAGGCCGGACGUGUUGCAACUUUCAUACUGUGUCAGAAAUUGUUCAAACCUGGCAUGGAUGCCUAUGAGGGGCAUGCCCAUCUGGUGGCAAAAGUUGGGGCCAUUUUAAGGAUGUACUCCCUCCGUCCGAAAAUACUUGUCAUCAAAAUGGAUAAUAAGGGAUGUACGUAGAACUAAAAUACAUGUAGAUACAUCUCCUUUUAUCCAUUUUGAUGACAAGUAUUUUCGGACGGAGGAAGUAUAAAUAGACCAUGUUGAACAAACUGUGUUCUCGGGCAGAAGGAUUCGUCUGAGAGCAUGUUAGUUCUCGACAUCCUUGAAAUUAAUCCAAUUUUUUUCAAGGGCCUCGUAUGACCAAUUCAAGGCAUCAUGGAAAGUUGUUUGGGUUUUCAACAAGUUUUGCAUUUCCUGGAGUUUCUUGGUGAAAAAGUAACAAUUAAUGAUAGAACAUGUCGCAACGUGCAUACGGUGUCGGAAGUCAUUCAGACCAAGUAUGGAUGCCUAACAUGGGCAUGCCCACUUGCUUGCAAAAGUUGGGGGUAGUCCUGAUAUUUCCAAAGAAAUACCAUGUUGGAUGGAGAGUGUUCGAAUAGGCUAGAAGGAUCUGUUUGCGAGCUCCAUUUCUCAUGGCCUUGUAUAACCAAUUCAAGGCACCACACCAAAUUGUUUUGGUUUUGUCCAAUUUUGCGUUUUCUGAAGUUUUUGUGGUUAAGAAGGCCGAUAAAUGACCGGAUGUGUCAACACUUGAAUAUGGUGUAGAAAAACGUCCAAACUAGGCAUGUGCCUACCAUGGGCAUGCCUACCUUCUUGCAAAAGUGGGGUUCAUUUUAAAGAUGUUCAAAAAUAGACUAUGUUCAACGGAGAGUGUUCGAAUAGUGCAGAAGGGUCCGUUUGAAAGCUCGUUGUUUACUGACAUCUGUCAAAUAACCCCAAAUAUUUUUCAUGAGCUUCUAUGACCAAUUCAAGGCACAAUGCCAAUUUGUUUAGAUUUUUGAAAAGUUUUGUAUUUUCUAGAGUUUUCUCAUUGAAAGUAGGCCGAUAAAUGGUCGGACGUGUCACAACAUGUAAAGGGUGUCGGAAGUCAUUCAAACCUGGCGUGGAUGCCUCAUAUGUCCAAGCCAGGCUCUUGCAAGAAGGUGGGAUCAUUUAUCAAUAGCCUAAAAUAUACCAGUUAGAUGAGUUUAUUUCUAAUUCCCUUCAUUAUCACUCAACAUAAACAUUUUAUUUUUUCCUAACAAUUUCUUGAAAUUUCUCAACAAUUUUGGAACUUCAAAGUGUGUAUGAAAAAUUUACUAACUUGAACACUUUUUUCCAAAAUUGUUAACAAAUUACGAAAGAAUGAUGAAAAUUUCGAACAAAAAAGCAAACCGCGUACUUCUUAAAAAAAUUGUCAACUUUUUUGAAACACAUACAUUUCUUAAAUUUGUGAACAACAAAAUUCGAAAACUAGAACAUUUUAUGAAAUUCCAGAAUAUUUUUUAUAAUUUAAACAAUAUUUGAAAACAAAAUCAUUUUAUGUUAUGCCAAACAUUUUUUCCAAAAUUUGAACAAGUUUCACAAAGAUUAAUAAAGUUCAAAAGUAGAAAAAUGAAUUAACAAAAAGAGAAAAAAAAAGAAACUAACUGCAAUGAAAAAAAUGCUUAGGCCCUAGAAAAUAAGAAUGUUUCCGGAAAAUUUAAGUAUAUUUGGAAAAAUAUUCGUAAAUUUUAAAAAUUGUUUGUGUUUUUGAAUAAUGCUCGCCAAUUUGAAAAAGUUUUGCAUUUUAAAAAAAUGUUCAGAUAUUUCAAAAUUGUUUAUGUUUUCAAGAAAAUGGUCACAAAUGUGAUAAAUUAUUCAUCUUUUCAAAAAAAUCUGCAGUUUCAGAUAUAUGUUUACAAUACUGAAAAACUGUUCUUAAACUUUCAAAAAUAUUCACAAAAUCAAAGUAUUUUUCAUAAAAAAGGGUUCGGGAAUUUGAAAAAAAUGCGUUUCCAAAAGAAGUCCAAAUUUUGAAAAAUGUUUCGUAUUUUUAAAAAUAUUCCAAUAGAUGAAAAAACACAUUAGGUUUUUUAGCUAUAAAAAAUGCUUUAGCUAGAAUGUCCUGCCCAGUUGUGUUUUCCAAAAGAAGUCCGUGCACCAAUUUUGAUCUGCUAGAGUAUUUCUAGUAAAAAAAAAGCUCCUACAGUACGUCUGUUCUAGGUAAUAAACAACUACACUUCAAAAAUAUCAGCAAAUCCAGAUGGUUCUGGUGGCUAUUAGCAGUUUCCCAACCGCUGGAGGUCCUGUGUUCGAUGCCCAAUAGGCACACUAUGUUUUGGAUUUUUGAUCGGUGCUACCGCACAUACUCUCUCUAAUGGGCCGGCCCAAAAUAGACUCAGAACAUGACAGAUCUUCGCGACGUAUUUUCUUGAAAGACCAUCCUACUCUUUAUUAUGAAAAGGUAUAGACAGAUCUCGUCCAUUGAUGUAUUCGGGGGUUGUGCCGAAGAAGAAGAUAUAGACCUAUGAGGAAUUACGUAUGCAUGCUCAAGAACCUAUGUUCGUACAUACAUACACAAAAUCAUAUAGAACAAAAGGUAUGCUCCGGUCAGAAAGCAGAGUCGUACAGCAGAGUUUUGGACAAAAGUGAAGUUCACAAAAGACCUUCAUACGAGAUAGGCCAUUGUUUCAACUCGUAGUUUAGGCCUUGCCGGACUCCUCGCAACCCGGUGGCCUAAAGGCGAUGAAGCUGACGCACUGCACCUGGCGCAGGUUGUCGAAGCCGAUGACACGGACAUAGGCGUCAGGGUACUCCUUCUUGACCUCCUCCACCUCGUUCAGCACCUGUGUGGCGUCAG
rnacentral:lncRNA from 1 species